rnacentral:rRNA from 1 species
AUGCACGCUGGCGGCGUGCCUAAUACCUGCCAGUCGAGCGAACAGACGAGGAGCUUGCUCCUCUGACGUUAGCGGCGGACGGGUGAGUAACACGUGGAUAACCUACCUAUAAGACUGGGAUAACUUCGGGAAACCGGAGCUAAUACCGGAUAAUAUAUUGAACCGCAUGGUUCAAUAGUGAAAGACGGUUUUGCUGUCACUUAUAGAUGGAUCCGCGCCGCAUUAGCUAGUUGGUAAGGUAACGGCUUACCAAGGCAACGAUGCGUAGCCGACCUGAGAGGGUGAUCGGCCACACUGGAACUGAGGCACGGUCCAGACUCCUACGGGAGGCAGCAGUAGGGAAUCUUCCGCAAUGGGCGAAAGCCUGACGGAGCAACGCCGCGUGAGUGAUGAAGGUCUUCGGAUCGUAAAACUCUGUUAUUAGGGAAGAACAAAUGUGUAAGUAACUAUGCACGUCUUGACGGUACCUAAUCAGAAAGCCACGGCUAACUACGUG